rnacentral:lncRNA from 1 species
GGGAGCUAAACAAUGGGUACAUGUGAACAUACAGAGGGAAAUAAUAGACAUUGGAGACUUCAAAAAGUGGGAGGGUAGGAGGGGGUGAGGGUUGCAAAACUACAUAUUGGGUACAAUGUUCACUCUUUGGGUGACGGGUACACUGAAAGCCCAGACUUCACCACUUCACAUACAAUAUAUGCAUGUGAGAAACUUGUACUCCCUAAAUAUAAAUAAAUAAAUAAAUAAAUAUUAUAACCUCAGAGAAAUAUAAAAAGAUAUUAUAUCCACAAAACAAAUCAAACAAGAAUAAGAUGCUAUUUUUUAAAGAGACCAUGAGAAAUAUAUGAAAGGAUUCUUUCUGAUUGACCAGAAUUUUUUAAGUAGGUAGAAUUAGAAACAUAAAGUUGUAGAAAUUGCCCAGAAAUUAGAUCGAAAUAACAGAGAUGGAAAAUACAACAAAUGGGGGGAAAAAACACAAUUAUAGGAUUAUACACAGGAGAUCAGAGAUCUGAAUUAUUGUUUCAGAAAAAAUAAAUUGAGAGGAAAAAUAUCAAUAAUACAAGAAAAGGUACCACAUAAAUGAAAGAUUAUACACAUUAAAACCUUCAGCAUGACAGCAAAUAUCUCAGAGUGACUUAAUGCCAUACACUGAAGCAUGGAGUUUGCUAGUAAAGAAUUACAAAUACUUACUGACCAAAGAUAGUCAUGAGCUCAACUGCUUUAUGGUAAAAUAAUUAGCAAUUGAGUCUUCCUGCAAUUGAGGAUGUAAUCAGUCAUGAGACCACAUCAUGCCAAUUUUCAUGACCAGUUGAGUUCAGAAACUUUGUUUCUUUGUGGUUCAUAGAAGUAUUACUCCUAGAUAAGAAGACUACUGUCUUUCGCUUUGAGACGGGAGUCUCUUUUAGAACUCCAAACAUCAAAUGUUCAAGUCUGAAAGCUCAUAACUGUCCAAAAGGAGUUACCCACUAAGUGACUUGAAUUACGCCUAGAAUUCAUUUCUCUAUCUGUUCAAUUUUCAUCCCCCAUGAGAAUCUUCAAUAAUGCUAGAGAAAUAUCUUCAACAACAGCAGCGUGAUGACUUGCAAACAUUUACUGAGUAGUUCCCAUGGAGGCAUGAAAAUACACUGGAAAGCAGGCUCAUCAGAUUACAGGGAGAGAUGAGCAAAGCAAUUUAUUUAUUUAAACUUUUUAUAUGAAAAAUUUCAAAUAUAUUUUGAAAUUUCAAAAUUCAAAAAAGAAAAAAGAAUAUAAUAAACUCCAUGUACUCUGCUUCAAUAAUUGUCAACUCACAGUCAAACUUGUUUUAUUUACACCCCCAUCUAAUUCCAUUCCCCCCCACACCACUGGAUUAUUUUGAAGCAAAACCAAGCCAUCACAUCAUUUCAUCUUAUGUAUAUCUUCAUAUGUAUAUGUAUAUAUGAAGAUAUACAUGAAUUUAUACAUGAAGAUGAAAUGAAUAUAUAUAUAGGAAUGAAUAUAUAUGAAGAUGAAUAUAUUUGAUAUAUACAUAUAUAAUCAGAAAUAAGAACUUUUCCUUAAAUCUAAGCACAAUUCAUUAUCAUAAUUAGAGGUGAUUAACAAUAAUAUAUAAUAUUACUAACUAUUCAAUCACAUGUGCAUGUGUGUGUGUAUGUUUUGGAAACACUAUAGGUUAAAACAUAGUUGAUUGUUUUAAUUCUUGUAGUUAUUAUUAUUUUAUUGAGGCUCACAUCAUCUCAUCUUUGCCUAGAAAAAGGCUUCCCUAGCUGGCUCCAAAGUGUUUUAGACAUAGCCCCAAAAGUCACUGCUAGCUCUCUUGCCCUUCAGUAUGAUAAAUUAUUCCAGGUUCAUGUUACACAAUUCCUGCCCCAGAUCUGUGAUCAGUUCUCGCCCAAAGAUCCCAGGUUCCUUUUAGUGCUCACAGUCUGAGCACUAGAUUUUGAACCUAGUAAAUGAACCCAGAGAUACUCAUUUUACCUACCUUGUCAUUAUUGCUAAGUCUUUUCAGUCAAUAGAGCCAGGGAAUUUAUAUUUUUACAUUAAAAUACAUCACAAUUUCAAUUAAUAAUUACAAUAUAAUUUAAAGACUAGAAGGUUUCUUUUUGGCUCUGUUUUUGUUUUCUGAGACAAGUUCUGGCCAUCACCUAGGCUAGAGUGCAGUGGCCCAAUUACAGCUCACUGCAACCUUGAAAUCCUGGGCUCAAGCGAUCUUUCUGCCUUGGCCUUCUGAGUAGCUGGAACUACAGGCAUGCACUACCAUGCCCAGCCAUUUAAAAAAAAAAUCUCUUUUGUAGAAAUGGGGUCUUGCUGUGUUGCCUAGGCUAGUCCCAAACUCCUGGGCUCAAGCAAUCCUCCCACCUUGGCCUCCCAAAGUGUUGGGAUUAUAGGUGUGAGCCACCACAGCUGGCCAAGACUACAAGGUUUUUACUUAAACGUUUUUUCUCUUAAAUCUAAAUUACCUUUCUUCCAUACCAAAAAUCCUAGUUCCUGAUACCAACAUAAUUUCACUUGCUUUAUCCCAUAAUGCACACAACAGUCUCAAGAAGAACGAGAGAGAGAGACAGAGAGAGAGAAAGAGAGAGAGAGAAAAGAGAAAGAGAGGGAGGGAGGGAAGAAAGGAAGGAAAGAAGGAAAGCAGGAAGGCAGGCAGGCAGAUGUAAACAGUAACAACACUAUCAUCAAUAAUAAUUUUAAAAAACAAUGUAAAAUUGUUUCACAAUUCUUUUUCUUAGGAGAUAUCUACAUACUGUAUCAUUUGAAAUCAUUCCUCUCUAUAGUUGCCAAGAAACAGAUGAAAUGCAAACUUCACCUUCAAACUGAGAGAACAAGGUCUGCAAAGAUGGAACAACUUCUCCCUUCUAAGAAAAAUAAGGGAAAUCGUUUACUGGCCCAGAAGACCUCACGAUGGCAAAUUCAAUCAGAUCCUCAUUAACCAGAUCAAAAUGAGGCCUGACAGAGUCUUCAUUAGAUCUACAAAAUCCUGUUCGUUUUAGCUCUGAGUCUCCUGACUUGUCCGUGUCAUCAUAAAUUGGUUGUUUUGAAGUCAGAGAGGACAAAGUGCUUGCAGAUGAUGGUCACCCUGCCUGACCUAUAAGGACAAGGUUCUGUUAGAAAAAAUGAAACAGUGCAGCAGUGGCAAGGCCUGGCCAAAGAAAUAGGUUUGCUAACCGGCAAGAAACAGAGAAAAGAAAAACCCAGUUAUUUAAAAAUACUGACCAAAAUACUAACAACUACAAAGACAUUGUCCCAGUCCCAUCACGGAAACCAAUGUAAACUUCUCUUGUGAAGCUGAAUUACAGGUCACUUAAGUUCUAUUACAUACAUUUUACAUUCCCAGUCAGAAAAAUGGCAUCCUCUAUAUCUGAAAAAAUUCAUCUAACCCCAGAUGAAGUCUUCUUUUUUUUUUUAUAAUGGAAUUAAAUUCUGUCACUUUUUUUAGCAGUGGUGCCAGCGAGACCAGCCACUGAAAUAAGCAGAGUUAAUGGCCAUUGAGUUAACGGACUUGAGAGGGGCCAAAAAGCCGGCUUGCCAAUGUGCCCGUGGCUUCCACCAUAAAGUCACUCCAAUGAAUGGGGCACUGCAUUUCCAAAAUUCUCCUGUCACAAAUGCUAAUGUUGACCUAUCACAGUGCCCAGGCCAUCACAGACACUCAAUGUUUAUUGAAUGAAUAAAAGAAUGAUUGUUGCCUGUGAAUGAUAAUAAGUUUUGAUUAUAUUGGUUAGAUUCUAUUCCAAAAAUAUGUAAGUAUCUGGAACAUAUUAACUCACUUGCUCUCACUAUAUGUGGUUAUGAAAUAGGUUCUCAGAUUGGCCCUUUGCCAACAAGCCCAAGCCAGCUCUUAAAGAAAUGGAACACUGGAAAGGAAAGCG